GGAAGGUAUUGGUGUGAGAGCUGAGGAUCUCCCCAUCCCCUCCCCUUAAACGGAAACAAAUGACUCCGAUGGUGUCAGCUCUUACUGUAAUCUUAUCAACACUUUCUCUCUUCGCUGACGCCAACAACAACCACAACAUAAACUCUUUCCUACUUUCUCUCUCUUCCCUGCUCAUGCCAUUAAUGGUACGGUCGGCAAGGAAGAAGGUGUAGGCCCGUUUCCUUUGUGCUCAAGGUUGCCCACAAGGGAAAAAGGAGGACAUUGAGCUGUAAUAAUUGCGUGUAAGAGGGAGAGAAGAAGAAGAGAAGGCCGGAAAAGGAAAGUGGGGUUGCAGGAGAGCAUAGGGUGCAUGUGCUGGGAGAUCUAAGAGCCGAGCUCUGAAUCAUCCAUUAAUAAUGAAGAGCUAAUGAAGGGACGGAGAUCGAGAGUUGUUUGCUGGGUUUUAAGAAGAGAAGGGGAGAGCUUGGCUUUAGGGUUUCGGUGCGGCUGUUUUCCGCUUCAGUAAGCCUGCUUACCACGUUGUUUUACAAGGAAAGUUAUGCAGGUGGUCAAAAAGAAGGCCGGCUUGAUUCUUGCUUUCUUCUCUA